CACGUAGGGGGCGAGCGUUGUCCGGAUUCAUUGGGCGUAAAGAGCUCGUAGGCGGCUUGUCGCGUCAACUGUGAAAACCCGUGGCUCAACCAUGUGGUCUGCAGUCGAUACGGGCAGGCUAGAAUUCGGUAGGGGAGACUGGAAUUCCUGGUGUAGCGGUGAAAUGCGCAGAUAUCAGGAGGAACACCGGUGGCGAAGGCGGGUCUCUGGGCCGAUAUUGACGCUGAGGAGCGAAAGCGUGGGGAGCGAACAGG
rnacentral:rRNA from 1 species